rnacentral:tRNA from 1 species
GGGUUAUAGCUCAGUGGUAGAGCCCUUGCCUACCAUGCAUGAGGCACUGGUUUCAAUCCUUAACACCA